rnacentral:rRNA from 1 species
UACAGAGGGUGCAAGCGUUGUUCGGAAUUAUUGGGCGUAAAGAGCUCGUAGGCGGCUCAGUAAGUCAGGUGUGAAACCUCCAGGCUCAACCUGGAGACGCCACCUGAUACUGCUGUGGCUAGAGUCCGGUAGGGGAGCGUGGAAUUCCUGGUGUAGCGGUGAAAUGCGCAGAUAUCAGGAGGAACACCAGCGGCGAAGGCGGCGCUCUGGGCCGGAACUGACGCUGAGGAGCGAAAGCGUGGGUAGCAAACAGG